UAAUACGUAGGGUGCAAGCGUUGUCCGGAAUUAUUGGGCGUAAAGAGCUCGUAGGCGGUCUGUCGCGUCGGCUGUGAAAACUCGGGGCUCAACUCCGAGCUUGCAGUCGAUACGGGCAGGCUAGAGUUCGGCAGGGGAGACUGGAAUUCCUGGUGUAGCGGUGAAAUGCGCAGAUAUCAGGAGGAACACCGGUGGCGAAGGCGGGUCUCUGGGCCGAUACUGACGCUGAGGAGCGAAAGCGUGGGGAGCGAACAGGAUUAGAUACCCUGGUAGUCCACGCCGUAAACGAUGGGUGCUAGGUGUGGGAGGUGUCGACUCCUUCCGUGCCGUAGCUAACGCAUUAAGCACCCCGCCUGGGGAGUACGGCCGCAAGGCUA
rnacentral:rRNA from 1 species